AGAGAGCGGAGACGUGGGGCUUCGAGGCUCUGAAGAAUUUAAUUGAUUUUCGUCCUUAAUUCGUGUUUUAUAUCGAUUUAACUUUUCGCAUAACAUUUGAUUUGUAUUUUGAUUUGCGUUUGAUGUUGGAAGAGAGGUCAUGGCAGUGCAGAUGCAGGGCUGGAACCCAAAUGAGGUCGAAGAUGCGCUGGCAGGAUGGGAUCCACGCAAAGAGCACUAUAUGAGUUAUCAGAGUUCUGCUGUGGAGAGUGAAGGACCCUUAGCAAACUUUAGCCGUUCAGCCAAUCUGGCCAGGACAAAGGAAAAUGUAUCAGAGCCAUAUGGACUCUAU